CUCUCUCGUUGUCUCUCUCUCUCUCGUUGUCUCUCUUUUUCUUUCUUCUCGUCUUAACUUCCGCCAAAUCAUCGAGAGAAUUUUUCUCUCAAAAAGGAGAGAAAGACGCCGGAAGUGGAUAACGGUUCGUCGAGCUCUCUUUACAACGACAAUGACCGGAAGUAUAGUGAAUUGUGAGAGAUCGCAUAGCAUAUGUGUACGUAUACGCUAUGCCAUAGUGUAUACCAUCAUUAUUUUUAUGAGUUUGUAGCUUUCUUACCUUACUGGGAAUGAGAAGACGAAGUUCAUCGUCACCCUGUCGAUAACGUUUGUGAGGACUGGUUGGCCCUCCUGAACCUGUCAUGGCGCCCGCAUCAGCUUCCCUCUUCAUUAUUCCUACAAUAAAAAAAAAAAAGAAAAAAAAAACAAUUGUAUUAAAA